GCCUUGUACACACCGCCCGUCACACCAUGGGAGUGGGUUGCAAAAGAAGUAGGUAGCUUAACCUUCGGGAGGGCGCUUACCACUUUGUGAUUCAUGACUGGGGUGAAGUCGUAACAAGGUAACCGUAGGGGAACCUGCGGUUGGAUCACCUCCUUACCUGAAAGAAGC
rnacentral:rRNA from 1 species